UACAGAGGUGGCAAGCGUUGUUCGGAAUUACUGGGCGUAAAGGGCGCGUAGGCGGCCUCGCAAGUCCCGUGUGAAAUCCCUCGGCUCAACUGAGGAAUGGCACGGGAAACUGCGGGGCUUGAGUUCGGGAGAGGGAAGCGGAAUUCCGGGUGUAGCGGUGAAAUGCGUAGAUAUCCGGAGGAACACCGGUGGCGAAGGCGGCUUCCUGGACCGAUACUGACGCUGAGGCGCGAAAGCUAGGGGAGCAAACGGG
rnacentral:rRNA from 1 species